rnacentral:rRNA from 1 species
CCCGCACAAGCGGAGGAACAUGUGGUUUAAUUCGAUGAUACGCGAGGAACCUUACCCGGGUUUAAAUGUAGGACGAAACUCCCAGAGACGGGAGCCUCUUCGGACGGACUACAAGGUGCUGCAUGGCUGUCGUCAGCUCGUGCCGUGAGGUGUCGGGUUAAGUCCCAUAACGAGCGCAACCCCUAUCAUCAGUUGCUAGCAGGUAAUGCUGAGGACUCUGGUGAGACUGCCACCGUAAGGUGAGAGGAAGGCGGGGAUGACGUCAAGUCAGCACGGCCCUUAUAUCCGGGGCUACACACGUGUUACAAUGGUCAGCACAAAGGGCAGCUACACCGCGAGGUGAUGCUAAUCUCAAAAACUGAUCUCAGUUCGGAUCGGAGUCUGGAACUCGACUCCGUGAAGUUGGAUUCGCUAGUAAUCGUAUAUCAGCAAUGAUACGGUGAAUACGUUCCCGGGCCUUGUACACACCGCCCGUCAAGCCAUGGAAGCUGGGAGUGCCUGAAGUCCGUAACCGCAAGGAUCGGCCUAGGGUAAGACUGGUAACUGGGGCUAAGUCGUAACAAGGUA